rnacentral:miRNA from 1 species
UGUGGGACCUGAACUGAGCCAUGCUACUGGCUUCCUUGGCCAUUCAGCUGCCAGAUGGCAUAUCACUGGACUUCU